rnacentral:rRNA from 1 species
CAAGUCGAGCGCUGAUUACAGAGUAGCAAUAUUUUGUAGUCGGAGCGGCGCAAGGGUGCGUAACACGUGGGUAAUCUGCCAUGAAGUCGGGGACAACUUGCUGAAAGGCGAGCUAAUACCGGAUGUAAAAAUUGGAAGGCAUCUUCCGAUUUUCAAAGCUGGGGACCGUAAGGCCUGGCGCUUCAUGAUGAGCCCGCGGCCUAUCAGCUAGUUGGUGAGGUAACGGCUCACCAAGGCAAAGACGGGUAGCUGGUCUGAGAGGACGACCAGCCACACUGGAACUGAGACACGGUCCAGACACCUACGGGUGGCAGCAGUCGAGAAUUUUUCACAAUGGGUGAAAGCCUGAUGGAGCGACGCCGCGUGGGGGAUGAAUGGCUUCGGCCCGUAAACCCCUGUCAUUUGCGAUCAACCGUUAUUAUUUAAAAGAUGAUGACCUGAUAGUAGCGAAAGAGGAAGGGACGGCUAACUCUGUGCCAGCAGCCGCGGUAAUACAGAGGUCCCGAGCGUUGUUCGGAUUCACUGGGCGUAAAGGGUGCGUAGGUGGCGAGGAAAGUCGGAUGUGAAAGCUCGGAGCUCAACUCCGAAAUGGCAUUGGAAACUACCUUGCUCGAGGGUUGGAGGGGGGACUGGAAUUCUCGGUGUAGCAGUGAAAUGCGUAGAUAUCGAGAGGAACACCAGUGGCGAAGGCGAGUCCCUGGACAACUCCUGACACUGAGGCACGAAAGCUAGGGGAGCAAACAGGAUUAGAUACCCUGGUAGUCCUAGCCGUAAACGGUGCAUGUUUGCUGUAAAAGGAAUCGACCCCUUUUGUGGC